CCUACGGGUGGCUGCAGUGGGGAAUAUUGGACAAUGGGGGCAACCCUGAUCCAGCCAUGCCGCGUGUGUGAAGAAGGCCCUCGGGUUGUAAAGCACUUUCAGUGAGGAAGAACGCCUGGUGGUUAAUACCCAUCAGGAAAGACAUCACUCACAGAAGAAGCACCGGCUAACUCCGUGCCAGCAGCCGCGGUAAUACGGAGGGUGCGAGCGUUAAUCGGAAUUACUGGGCGUAAAGCGCGCGUAGGUGGCUUGAUAAGCCGGUUGUGAAAGCCCCGGGCUCAACCUGGGAACGGCAUCCGGAACUGUCAAGCUAGAGUGCAGGAGAGGAACGUAGAAUUCCCGGUGUAGCGGUGAAAUGCGUAGAGAUCGGGAGGAAUACCAGUGGCGAAGGCGGCCUUCUGGACUGACACUGACACUGAGGUGCGAAAGCGUGGGUAGCAAACAGGAUUAGAUACCCUAGUAGUC
rnacentral:rRNA from 1 species